rnacentral:lncRNA from 1 species
CGAAGGAAGACAUCAUUGAGUUCAUUAAGAAGAAUCGGGAUAAGGCUGCUCAGCAAGAAGGCUCAAAAGAUGAGCUGUGAUGAGGUAAAAGUCACAGUUUGUUGCUGACUUCCUCUUCCAUAAUCAUUCUAGGGAAUGUUGGGUUUACCCUCUUUUUCCAGAUUGCUGGGGAGGUUUUGAAAUUGAUUCAUUUUCCUUAAAUGCAGUGAGGGCAUCCUUGUCAUCUGUGAAGAAGAUACAAACAUUUCCCAGUUGGGUACUACUGGUGGCGAC